AGGACGAACGCUGGCGGCGUGCUUAACACAUGCAAGUGGAGCGACGAACCAGGGCUUGCCCUGGGGCAGAGCCGCGAACGGGUGAGUAACACGUGGGUUACCUGCCUCGAUGACCGGGACAACCCGAGGAAACUCGGGCUAAUACCGGAUGUGCCCGCAAGGGGAAAGGAAGCUUCGGCCUCCGCAUCGAGAUGGGCCCGCGGCCCAUUAGCUUGUUGGUGAGGUAACGGCUCACCAAGGCUUCGAUGGGUAGCUGGUCUGAGAGGACGAUCAGCCACACUGGGACUGAGACACGGCCCAGACUCCUACGGGAGGCAGCAGUGGGGAAUCUUGCGCAAUGCGCGAAAGCGUGACGCAGCAACGCCGCGUGGGGGAAGAAGGCUUUCGGGUUGUAAACCCCUUUCGAGUUGGGACGAAGCUUCUCCGGUGAAUAGCCGGACGGAGUGACGGUACCUUCACAAGAAGCACCGGCUAACUACGCGCCAGCAGCCGCGGU
rnacentral:rRNA from 1 species